UGGUAAAAUUGCCCUUUAACAAUGCAAAUAUGAUUUAGUAAGAUUACUCUCACUUUUCUAUAAAAUACACUUUACUCUAAAAAGUGCGCUUCUCAUUUAAAUAAAUGAUUGACGUUUUGUUUUGUGUAAGAGGAAAGUUAGUGCCUAACUAAAGAUUGUAUAGACAUAAAGAAGGAUAAACAUAGAAACAAAAAUAAAAAUUUGGAUCAAACAACAGCAGGUGUAUCAGUAAUGGUUUGCCAAAGUCAAGAAGUUGUUAUGUCAAGAACUAUGUUACUCUUUUUUAUUUAAUUUGUUCAUUGACUAGAGUCAAUAUUUUAUUUUGAGUCAAAUAGUUAAUUAGGACUGAUAAUCCAUCGCGCGAUGGUCCAAACUGUAAUUGUAAUCUUAGCACUCUCUGAUUGGUAGAGUAAGGUCAAUUAAUCGGUAUAUAAGCCGCCGCUCUGUCUGCUGCAGUAUCAGAUAUUUCCUCAGCGAAACAUCCGACUCUUACUAACAUGGGCAAGGAAAGGACCAGCGUCAACAUGGCCGUCGUCGGCUACUACUAGACCUACCAUCAGCAGAUGGACGGCUAGUACAACACGGAUAUGACCCGGCUUCUGUACACGGACACGCUCUGGACACGGACAACACGAUGGUAGCUCUCCCGGACUAUACCUCAACCUAAUUGGCAAUAUUGUCUGUACAUAAUGAGUAAAUACAUAUAAAUUUCAGUUAAA